rnacentral:lncRNA from 1 species
GAUGAGAUUUAUGCUCUAAUGUAACUUCUGAGCACAUUUGAUGUAAUUUCUGAGCACAUGGAGAGCCGCCACCACCAGUGUAUAAACUGUCGGAAACACUGCUUUGGAGCAGUCUAGCAGAAACUCCCUGAAAGGCUCUCCCGGGUUGCAAUUCUUGGUAAGUUUCCACGCUGGUACUUUAGCCCUGGGCUCGAACCUGCGGACACGCUGUGGCUGCAACUCCCCGCCCGCCAGACCUCAGUACGCAGCGCGGCUGGUGAGAAACAUAAUGCACUCUGACUUCCACGCGUGGAAUGGGGAGAUGGACUGCACGGCGGGCGGACCUGCUCGGGCUGAUGGACGGCAGGUGGACUGAUGUGCGCAGGGACUGGCGGCAGCGCGGUCAGAGCCAGUCAGCCAAAGCCAGGCCAGCACAAUAGACUGUCCCGGUUCCCGCCAGGAGGCGGCCGAGCACCAACUGUACGGUACUGCGCCUGCGCCGCGACCGCCAACGCGCCCAGUCUACGCUUGCGCGGCGCAACAGGGCCGACUGCAGCUGGAAGAUGGCGGCGUCCGUGGUCUGUCGGG